rnacentral:rRNA from 1 species
GACGAACGCUGGCGGCGUGCUUAACACAUGCAAGUCGUACGGUAAGGCCCUUUCGGGGGUACACGAGUGGCGAACGGGUGAGUAACACGUGAGUAACCUGCCCACAACUUUGGGAUAACGCUAGGAAACUGGUGCUAAUACUGGAUAUGUGCUCCUGCUGCAUGGUGGGGGUUGGAAAGCUCCGGCGGUUGUGGAUGGACUCGCGGCCUAUCAGCUUGUUGGUGGGGUAGUGGCCUACCAAGGCGGCGGCGGGUCGCCGGCCUGAGGGGGUGACCGGCCACAUUGGGACUGAGAUACGGCCCAGACUCCUACGGGAGGCAGCAGGGGGGAAUAUUGCACAAUGGGCGCGAGCCUGAUGCAGCAACGCCGCGUGCGGGAUGACGGCCUUCGGGUUGUAAACCGCUUUCAGCAGGGACGAAGCUUUUUGUGACGGUACCUGCAGAAGAAGCACCGGCUAACUACGUG